GAUGAACGCUGGCGGCGUGCUUAACACAUGCAAGUCGAACGGAAAGGCCCAAGCUUGCUUGGGUACUCAAGUGGCGAACGGGUGAGUAACACGUGGGUGAUCUGCCCUGCACUUCGGGAUAAGCCUGGGAAACUGGGUCUAAUACCGGAUAGGACCACAUUUUGGAUGGUGUGGUGGAAAGUUUUUCGGCGUGGGAUGAGCUCGCGGCCUAUCAGCUUGUUGGUGGGGUAAUGGCCUACCAAGGCGUCGACGGGUAGCCGGCCUGAGAGGGUGUACGGCCACAUUGGGACUGAGAUACGGCCCAGACUCCUACGGGAGGCAGCAGUGGGGAAUAUUGCACAAUGGGCGCAAGCCUGAUGCAGCGACGCCGCGUGGGGGAUGACGGCCUUCGGGUUGUAAACUCCUUUCGCUAGGGACGAAGCGCAAGUGACGGUACCUGGAGAAGAAGCACCGGCUAACUACGUG
rnacentral:rRNA from 1 species